rnacentral:rRNA from 1 species
UACGGAGGGUGCAAGCGUUGUUCGGAAUUAUUGGGCGUAAAGCGCGUGUAGGCGGUCUUUUAAGUCUGAUGUGAAAGCCCCGGGCUCAACCUGGGAAGUGCAUUGGAAACUGGGAGACUUGAGUACGGGAGAGGGUAGUGGAAUUCCUAGUGUAGGAGUGAAAUCCGUAGAUAUUAGGAGGAACACCGGUGGCGAAGGCGGCUGCCUGGACCGAUACUGACGCUGAGACGCGAAAGCGUGGGGAGCAAACAGG